rnacentral:lncRNA from 1 species
AUCGCAUACCUUCUUCGUUAUAUAUCCUCAAUCACUGCUGAAAGCUCCAGUUAGAGAGUCGCAAGAGUUCGGAGAAAAUUAAAAACUUCAUCUAGCAAUAUAAAUAAACAUCAGAUCAAAACAACAUCGCAUAUAUCUAGCUAAUUAACAUCAUACAUAAGUUCUUGUUCACUAUCAAAUCUUUCAUUGGCGGGGAAAAAAGGGAUUGAAAUAACACUGUAAGCGAUAUAGGAAGCAAAAGUAACAUACCGAAAUGAGAGCAGCAGCUCACAGAUCUGGUGAUUUCCGAGAGCAUGAAAAAUGAAUGAGCUUUGGUAGCAAGGUCCGAGUAAUGUUUCACAAGUUGCCAUUGACUUGGUGGCUUCACUUUUCUUUUCUUUUCUUUU